CAGUCGCCGCGGGAAUACGUAGGGUGCAAGCGUUAAUCGGAAUUACUGGGCGUAAAGCGUGCGCAGGCGGUUUUGUAAGACAGAGGUGAAAUCCCCGGGCUCAACCUGGGAACUGCCUUUGUGACUGCAAGGCUAGAGUACGGCAGAGGGGGAUGGAAUUCCGCGUGUAGCAGUGAAAUGCGUAGAUAUGCGGAGGAACACCGAUGGCGAAGGCAAUCCCCUGGGCCUGUACUGACGCUCAUGCACGAAAGCGUGGGGAGCAAACAGGAUUAGAUACCCGAGUAGUCCCUGUCUCUUAUAC
rnacentral:rRNA from 1 species